UAUUUUACUUAGUUUGAGUUUGUCUCCACCAGAUGAGACUCCAUACAGUCGUCCCUCACUUCUUCGUCUUCCCCUCCAUACACUCAUCCCAUUCCCAAACGAUCUCGACCACUCAUCCCGAAGGGAACUCGACCCCACAACGGAACUCGACCCCACACUCAUCUCGUCGGCAACUCGACCUCUCGACGGAGCUCGACCCAGACGAUGGCAUGGAGGAAAAUUGAUUUCCAGAUCUAAUUGGAGACCCCUUUUUCUCACUUGAUCCUCAUCACACUUCAGCAGCGUUGUCCCGUUGUCCCAUUUCAACAGACCACCCUAGCCAAUAGCGCCAACAACCUGCCGCACGUCGUCGACUUCACAGUGCCGUCGACGGAGUACCAAAUGCAGGGGUUGAAGACGAAGUGCCGAAAGCGGAGGAGGAAGCUUGAGCUCUGAACAUUGUUGAUGUUGUUUGGGUAGUGGAAAGAUGAGAAAUUGGAAAAUUAUGGGAUCUCCUUAAGCAGAUGGCGCCAUAGAAAGGGCAAUAAACUAGAUUUUCAAAGAAUCCAGAAAGUUCUUGAUCAGAGAACAUUUUUUUAA